GGGAGAAGCAGGCUCCAUGCAGGGAGCCCGACGUGGGACUCGAUCCUGGGUCUCCAGGAUCGUGCCCUGGGCCAAAGGCAGGCGCUAAACCGCUGUGCCACCCAGGGAUCCCUCUCUCUCUUCUUAUCACAUACGAUAGAGUGGCUUUCACGCUUGGCAAGCAGCUACAGAGGAAAGAAACCUUCAUAAGGUGCCUGUGUCUGUGGCCUGCAUUUGAAGGCAAGAGCCCACCCAGCAAGAAUAAAAGGUGGGGGGCUCAUUCACUGUGGAGGAGGACAUGGAGGAGAACCAAUGAGAUUGGCUCUUCGUUGAACCAAGCAGAGAUGGAGAGAGGCGACUUGAUUUGAUCUGCUUGCUGGAGGAAGAAUUAAGACAUAAUGAUGGACUGGAUGGCAGAAAGAAGGGAGGAAUGAAGAGUGACUUCUAGGUUUUUAUCCUGAGCAAGUGGAUGGUGCCAUUUAUUGAAAUGGAAAAGACUCAAGGGAGGAGCAGUAGGCUCCACACCCAGUGUGGAACCCAGUGUAGAGCCCUGUAUGAGGCCCAAACUCAUGACCCUGAGAUCAAGAGUCAGAUGCUCAAUGGACGGAGCCACACAGGUGCCCUCAAGAUGCUCUUUAAACACUUAUGGCUUAUAUCCAUUUUUCCAGGAUGGAAACCAACCCACCAAGAACUGAAUCUUUUUAUUCAGUAGUUUAAACCCACCUAAUAAAUAAAUAUUCUGUUAUGUCUCACACAACGUAAGUGGUGGCAGACAGCAAACUGGUAACAGCUUUGUGUCUUGAGCCUUUUGGAAUUUAGAGUGUGGAUGAGUAGUAUCACUUGCCGGAAAUAAAAGGUAACGGAAAAUAUAUUAUCACAAAAGAAGCAAGGUGAUUAGAGUCCGGCUCACCCUCCCAGCUGGGGCUUCGGAAGGGCUCUGGUUGAAAGGGAGAUUCAAAAAAAAAAAAAAAAAAAAGAAAGGGAGAUUCACAGAGGAGGUGUCACAGCCUCCACUGGGGAUGUUAACAAUGGAGGAUCCGUGCGGGGGGUAUAGAAACUCUGCGUGAUGUUCUUGCAACUUUUCUGUAAAUCGAAAAUGAUUCUAAAAUGAAAAGUUUAUUAAAAAAAAAAAAGUUGACUGAUACCAAACCAGACUUUGUCCUUGACUCUGAGAAAUGAAAGAGAAUAAGAAGCAAACUCACUUUUCUCCUGUGGUCAUCCCGUCUCCUAAUGCUUCCUCCUCGUGCCACCUGAGGUCAUCCCACGGACUCCUCUACCCCCAGGGCAGCUCUGAGCCUUGGGAAACUGUGGCUGGGUCUGGGCUGGUCCGUGCUUUCUCCAAAUGCCUGGGCCAAAGGCUUAGGCUUUUUCUGUGGACGAGGCUUCGUUAGGGGUGUUUAAGUGGCUUUGGGGGUGCCUUCAUCUGGCUGUAGGGGUGAGCAGGCUGG